UCGAGGGGCAGCGGUGGUGAAGGCUUGCCUUUACCAGCCGGCGCCCUGCGCACGGGUGAGUAACACGUAUGCAACCUGCCUGCCACAGCCGGAUAAUCGGGAGAAAUUCCGUCUAAUACGGCAUAAUGCACCUAUGGGACAUCCUGUUGGUGCCAAAGGUUAAUUCCGGUGGCGGAUGGGCAUGCGUCGCAUUAGUUAGUUGGCGGUGUAACGGACCACCAAGACGACGAUGCGUAGGGGUUCUGAGAGGAAGGUCCCCCACACUGGUACUGAGACACGGACCAGACUCCUACGGGAGGCAGCAGUGAGGAAUAUUGGUCAAUGGGCGGGAGCCUGAACCAGCCAAGUCGCGUGAGGGAUGACGGCCUUAUGGGUUGUAAACCUCUUUUGCCGGGGAGCAAAGUGCCGCACGUGUGCGGUUUGGAGAGUACCCGGAGAAAAAGCAUCGGCUAACUCCGUGCCAGCAGCCGCGGUAAUACGGAGGAUGCGAGCGUUAUCCGGAUUUAUUGGGUUUAAAGGGUGCGUAGGCGGACGCUUAAGUCAGCGGUAAAAUUGCGGGGCUCAACCUCGUCGAGCCGUUGAAACUGGGUGCCUUGAGUGGGCGAGAAGUACGCGGAAUGCGUGGUGUAGCGGUGAAAUGCAUAGAUAUCACGCAGAACUCCGAUUGCGAAGGCAGCGUACCGGCGCCCAACUGACGCUGAAGCACGAAGGCGUGGGUAUCGAACAGGAUUAGAUACCCUGGUAGUCCACGCAGUAAACGAUGAAUGCUAGUUGUCCGGGGCGAU
rnacentral:rRNA from 1 species